ACAGCAGCCUCACCUCUGUCAUGCUCCUGCAUUAGGAAACUCAUCUUCCACAGAGAUCUGGUGAGGAAGCAUCCUGUUCCUUGACACAGCAGAAGAUUUGGACAGAUUUUCCGAGAUUCAUCUAACUUAGUCUGAAUGGCUGGCACAAGAAACAGUUCUGUCCUUAAUGCAGCAAAAGAACGAAAGGAUAUGUGGAAAACCAGUCUGGGUUCAAUGGCUUGAUCCAAAACACAUCAGUGGUCAAUGGAGGAUGCACUGAUUUUAGAGGAUUGAGGCUGUGUCCCUGAUCAAAGGAGCAAGGGACUACUCUAAAGAAAUCAUCCUGAGUGUUAAUUUUGGCACAAGGAGAAGUACAAGGAUAAUGCUGAUGGCACUUUUUUGCUUUGAU
rnacentral:lncRNA from 1 species